rnacentral:rRNA from 1 species
CAGUCGCCACGGGAACACGAAGGGUGCAAGCGUUAAUCGGAAUUACUGGGCGUAAAGCGUGCGUAGGCGGUGAGUUAAGUCUGCUGUGAAAUCCCCGGGCUCAACCUGGGAAUGGCAGUGGAUACUGGCUCGCUAGAGUGUGUCAGAGGAUGGUGGAAUUCCCGGUGUAGCGGUGAAAUGCGUAGAGAUCGGGAGGAACAUCAGUGGCGAAGGCGGCCAUCUGGGACAACACUGAUGCUGAGGCACGAAAGCGUGGGGAGCAAACAGGAUUAGAUACCCCAGUAGUCCCUGUCUCUUAUAC